GCCGAACCGGACAUGGGUGCCGCGGGAGGCCGAUUGCAAGUGUCGACAAGCAAUCGGAAAGCGAUUUGAGGUGGGUUGUGCUUACCGAAGCGACUAGGUCGCCCUUUAUGUCUAAGAAACAUACGAAUUCACAUUGAUGCAUAUAGUUGUAUUGGUAGGCUUACAUGAUAAUAUGAAUGCUUGAAACAUACUAUGUAGUUGAUAUUACCUACCAAUGAGAUGAAAUGUAUAAUGAAUUAAAUGCUAAAAGAAUGCAUGAGAUGCUACAUAUAGACU
rnacentral:lncRNA from 1 species